rnacentral:lncRNA from 1 species
GUGCAGUCACCCGCGCCUCGCCAAAGGGCGCCCCGGCUGCCCGCCCGCCGGCCCGCCCGCCCCGGCCUCGAACUCCCGCGACCUAGUUCUAACUCACCGGAAAAAAACCUCUGGACUUCAUCUGCUGAGCAAGACCAGGGCAAGCCUCAGACCUUCACCACGAAUCCCCUUUCCACCUUCGGUGUCCAACAUCAUGGUUCCUUACGCGGUCCUGCGUCGAAACAAAACGUAAGGCAGGGAAGAGGACCAGACCUGAGAGGGCCAAUUAAGCUGUCCUCCGCCUCCGAGGUGCCCCCGGGCCCGCACCGCCCCCGCACGGAGCAAAAACCGGGCGGAUGCACCCACCCCGGCGACUGCAACACCCAACACCUUCUCGUCCGGCGACCGCACCCCCAAAGCUGUCCUGAGCAGCAGCUGUCGGCACCCCGGACGUUGGGGGCCCGGCCGAGAGCCAACGUGGAGGAAAGGAAAUUGCGGCGGCCGCUUCCGCUCCGCCGCCUCCGACUUCUCACACAGCAGAGUCGGCGCAGCCUGCAGGCUUCAGCGGCGGUGCGGAGAUUCAGCGAACCACUCACGGCUCUGGAUGGCAGCCCGCAGCUCGCCAAGGUCCCCGUGGCCCUCCCAGAGUUAUGGGGACAAACAGUCCUCGCAAAAACAGCACACACGGGGGUCGCUGGAUUGCAAACGAGGACCCUCUGCGACUCUGGCCAGCGGGCGCCUGCACAACCUAAGAAGGCCUUUUGUGCGAGCUCUGCACACGCGCAGCCAGCUGCCCGCACCGCCCGGUUGCGUCACAAAGAGCUCCAGCUCAAGCGUAACUUCAAGAGCCACCCCCGCAUCCAACCUCCCGCCGGCGGAUUAUUACACGCUUGGGUUUUGGGCUCAGCAUCCGCACCCAAAAACCCGCCCGGCUUUUUAUUGCGCCUGCGCCUUCCCGCGAAUAUUGAAUUUGGGAGUUCCUUUGAAACCGUUCUCAGGCCGGGCUUGGUGGCUCAUACCUGA